rnacentral:rRNA from 1 species
UCGAACGAGAAGUACGUAGCAAUACGUAUUGUAAAGUGGCGCACGGGUGAGUAACACGUGGGUAAUCUGCCCUUGAGUUUGGGAUAACCCCGCGAAAGCGGGGCUAAUACCGAAUAAGACCACGGGGACCAAAGUCCCUGAGGUAAAAGGUGGCCUCUAUUUAUAAGCUAUCACUUGAGGAUGAGCCCGCGGCCCAUUAGCUAGUUGGCAGGGUAACGGCCUACCAAGGCAAUGAUGGGUAGCUGGUCUGAGAGGACGAUCAGCCACACUGGAACUGAGACACGGUCCAGACUCCUACGGGAGGCAGCAGUGGGGAAUAUUGCGCAAUGGGCGAAAGCCUGACGCAGCAACGCCGCGUGGGGGAUGAAGGUUCUCGGAUUGUAAACCCCUUUCGAUCGGAACGAAUCCCCUCCUGGUAAAUAAUCAGGAGGAUCGACGGUACCGAGAGAAGAAGCCACGGCUAACUCUGUGCCAGCAGCCGCGGUAAGACAGAGGUGGCGAGCGUUGUUCGGAUUUAUUGGGCGUAAAGCGAACGCAGGUGGUUUGGUAAGUCAGGGGUGAAAGACCACAGCUUAACUGUGGCAUUGCCUUUGAUACUGCCUUUCUUGAGUAGAGUAGGGGGAAGCGGAAUUCCGAGUGUAGAGGUGAAAUUCGUAGAUAUUCGGAGGAACACCGGUGGCGAAGGCGGCUUCCUGGACUCUAACUGACACUCAUGUUCGAAAGCGUGGGGAGCAAACAGGAUUAGAUACCCUGGUAGUCCACGCCCUAAACGAUGGGCACUA